rnacentral:rRNA from 1 species
AAAGCGCACGCAGGCGGUUUGUUAAGUCAGAUGUGAAAUCCCCGGGCUCAACCUGGGAACUGCAUUUGAAACUGGCAAGCUAGAGUCUCGUAGAGGGGGGUAGAAUUCCAGGUGUAGCGGUGAAAUGCGUAGAGAUCUGGAGGAAUACCGGUGGCGAAGGCGGCCCCCUGGACGAAGACUGACGCUCAGGUGCGAAAGCGUGGGGAGCAAACAGGAUUAGAUACCCUGGUAGUCCACGCUGUAAACGAUGUCGAUUUGGAGGUUGCGCCCUUGAGGCGUGGCUUCCGGAGCUAACGCGUUAAAUCGACCGCCUGGGGAGUACGGCCGCAAGGUUAAAACUCAAAUGAAUUGACGGGGGCCCGCACAAGCGGUGGAGCAUGUGGUUUAAUUCGAUGCAACGCGAAGAACCUUACCUACUCUUGACAUCCAGAGAACUUUCCAGAGAUGGAUUGGUGCCUUCGGGAACUCUGAGACAGGUGCUGCAUGGCUGUCGUCAGCUCGUGUUGUGAAAUGUUGGGUUAAGU